AUUGAACGCUGGCGGCAGGCCUAACACAUGCAAGUCGAACGGUAACAGGAAGAAGCUUGCUUCUUUGCUGACGAGUGGCGGACGGGUGAGUAAUGUCUGGGAAACUGCCUGAUGGAGGGGGAUAACUACUGGAAACGGUAGCUAAUACCGCAUAACGUCGCAAGACCAAAGAGGGGGACCUUCGGGCCUCUUGCCAUCGGCUUGGCCCAGAUGGGAUUAGCUAGUAGGUGGGGUAACGGCUCACCUAGGCGACGAUCCCUAGCUGGUCUGAGAGGAUGACCAGCCACACUGGAACUGAGACACGGUCCAGACUCCUACGGGAGGCAGCAGUGGGGAAUAUUGCACAAUGGGCGCAAGCCUGAUGCAGCCAUGCCGCGUGUAUGAAGAAGGCCUUCGGGUUGUAAAGUACUUUCAGCGGGGAGGAAGGGAGUAAAGUUAAUACCUUUGCUCAUUGACGUUACCCGCAGAAGAAGCACCGGCUAACUCCGUG
rnacentral:rRNA from 1 species